rnacentral:misc_RNA from 1 species
UACCGCUUAACGACGGUCAGUCUCCUUAGAGUUCCCGCCAUUACGCGCUGGCAACUAAGGACAAGGGUUGCGCUCGUUGCGGGACUUAACCCAACAUCUCACGACACGAGCUGACGACAGCCAUGCAGCACCUGUCUCACGGUUCCCGAAGGCACCCGCCCAUCUCUGGGCAGUUCCGUGGAUGUCAAGGCCAGGUAAGGUUCUUCGCGUUGCAUCGAAUUAAACCACAUACUCCACCGCUUGUGCGGGCCCCCGUCAAUUCCUUUGAGUUUCAGUCUUGCGACCGUACUCCCCAGGCGGCGAACUUAACGCGUUAGCUUCGAUACUGGGUGCCUAGUUGCACCCAACAUCCAGUUCGCAUCGUUUAGGGCGUGGACUAC